AUUGUACUCCAGUGUAGUAGGUGGCGGUAAUACAACAUUUAUUGGAUGCCAACUGCGCUUAAACCUCGAAGAAGAAUUGAUUUCCUCCACAUUCUUUCUGGUUUGUGGAUCAUGAUGGCUGCCGCCUUGAGAGGAAGCGUUGUAACAUUGGCCAAGGGCCUUACUGGCACUGGUCCGCGGUGGCAGCAGCUGGCUGCCCGGUCCCUCAAUAUGACUGCCAGUCUGGGUGGGCCUGAGGCACCUCCGGCCCGCGCCGACGCCACAUUCAAGGUCACCAUGGUGCCCGGGGAUGGAGUAGGACCUGAACUGAUGACUGCCGUCAAGGAGGUGUUCAAGGCGGGUGAUGUCCCAGUGGAGUUUGAGGAGUUCCACCUAAGUGAGGUGCAGCACAUGGACAGCGACGAGAAGCUGGAGCAGGUGUUGGCCUCCAUGAAGACCAACAGGGUGGCCAUGAAAGGAAAGAUUAACACCCCCAUGGAGUUCAAAGGGGAGCUGGCUGGCUUUGAGAUGAAAAUUAGGCGGAGGCUGGACCUGUUUGCAAACGUGGUACAUGUGAACAGCCUGCCCGGCUACAGCACCCGCCACAACAACCUGGACCUGGUCAUCAUCCGAGAGCAGACUGAGGGAGAGUACAGCUCUCUGGAGCACGAGAGCGUGCCUGGAGUGAUUGAAUGUCUGAAGAUCAUCACUAGGGAGAAGUCUCGGCGCAUCGCCAAGUUUGCCUUCGACUACGCCACCAAGAAGGGUCGCAGCAAGGUCACGGCGGUCCACAAGGCCAACAUCAUGAAGCUUGCAGAUGGCCUGUUCCUACAGUGCUGUGCCGAGGUGGCAGAGCUGUAUCCCAAGAUCAAAUAUGAGAACAUCAUCAUAGACAACUGUUGCAUGCAGCUGGUCCAGAACCCAUACCAGUUUGACGUGCUGGUGAUGCCCAACCUUUAUGGCAACAUCAUUGACAACCUGGCUGCUGGGCUGGUCGGCGGGGCAGGAGUGGUGCCAGGAGAGAGCUACAGCGCCGAGUAUGCCGUGUUUGAGACCGGAGCUCGGCACCCCUUUGCCCAGGCUGUAGGCAGGAACAUCGCCAACCCCACGGCCAUGCUGCUCAGUGCUGCCAACAUGCUCCAUCACCUCAACCUGGAAUACCACUCCAAUAUGGUGUCAGAUGCUGUCAGGAAGGUCAUCAAACAGGGCAAGGUGCGGACGCGAGACCUGGGCGGUUACAGCACGACCGGGGACUUUGUGCAAGCCGUUGUGGGGAACCUCCGCCACCGACCCAUGUACUAAAGAAGUCCCGAUCCCCUGAACGCCCUGCCCUUUUCUGUAAACUGGACGGCCAACCAAAUAUAAUCUGGAUAUAUUGAACCCAAUGUUGCCACAUUCCCUAAACUUUACCCCACUAACUUUUUUGCUCACUUUCCCACUAAACUAACACUUACGUCACUCUUGGCAGCUCUCUCCUCCGCUUUCUUUUCAUAUUCCUCUUUACGCGCUCGGUGUAUCCUUUAUUUCGUUAUUCUCUCUCUCUAAAUUCAAAAAUUAUUGGCCAAAGCAGAUAAUCAUCGUCAUUUAAAAAUUUUUUUUUACCAAAUCGUCCAUUUAUGCCGUGGACUUCUAUUUUCUCCCAGUCUUUUCCUUGUGGAACCCUUUCUCCAACUGAGCACCCCCUGCUUGGUGCCGUUUCCUGCUUCUCUCUUUUCCUCCAUGUCAGCCUGUUCUUUUGUACUGCCUCUGCUGUUGGCUGCACUCUUCUAUAAGCUGUUCUAGAAUCUUCUCUGUUUUGUCUGCUCUACUAACUCCCUAUAGUCUACUCUCCUAUUUGUCAGCUAACUCUCUUUCCCUCCACUCCAACUCUUCCUCUUCUCUCUCUGAGCUGUUUCAUUCUCUGCUGUGGAGAAGCAUAUGAUCUUAUAUUACAUUGACCUCCACUAGUCCAGCCUUGCAGUCCAUACCGGUCGGGCCGUGUGUUAUUCAGCAGUAUUGGUCAAGCAGGUUUCGAGCCACGGGGACAAUUCACCGAUGCCAAAGGGAGUGAGAAAUCUCUACCACAGCACUGUAUCAAUGGAUAUCUGGCCUGUCAUUUCACAGUCCUGAGUCGUGCCAGGCAUAUACAGUACGUCGUUCAUAACCCUUUGACUCUAUGUGCAGACUUUUCUUGGCUUGGAGUCCAGGCUACCGUGGUAGCAUAUGCGUAGACUACCGUAGCUGUAGACUUCCUGUCAUUGCGCUGACGCUAGUUAGCAUUGGCUCUUGAAACUACCUCUAACUGCCUUCAUUCUGUACGCAGAGACAAAAAUGGUAUCCAUGAGUUCGUCUGACUCUGGGUAAGUAGAAAACAGCUUAAUUGCCAGAAUCUUGCAGCAUCCUUUUUAACUGGCCUUUUCAAUCACAACCUUUAAUUACGUGCAGACUGUUUUAGUUGCUGUAAAAAAAAUUUUUUUUAAACUGCACUGGUUUCCACUGAGUCAUCAUAAACAUGGAAGUUUCUCACGAACACUUAUCAGCACCACUGUCUUAAAGGAGACAGGAUGUAGAGGUCAUUCCUGAGAAGGGUGACAUUUUCAGAAUCUACAAUCAAUGUUUUGAUAUUGUUGCGUUAGCAGGGAUGCUAACACGUUAGCCAAUUUCACCAUUUGGUAUUUGUAGCUAGCUUCAUAGAACCUUUUAAUGAUCCAUUGUCGCUCAUCUGCAUACUCUAGUCAUCACUAGUUACUAAAAAUAAAUCUUAAUAAUUUGUUCACUGUGUAUGCUGUAAAACGCACAUAAUGUGUAUCGUAGAGGUCACUAUCUAGGUAGCUUUUUGCUGGAGUUGCCCUUGGAGAUCCAUCGUGUUUGGCUGUUCAGUCAGGCAAAGCUCUUUCAUCAUUAAAUUUGCAAACGAACAAGCCACUGUAACUCGAGCCUACGACCAGCCUUGCCUGAGUUCACUUUGGCUUUGGACUUUGUGCCAAAAGUCCAUUAAAUUAUAUAUUGGUUAUGUUGAUGAUCUCAGUGGUAGCAUUUCUAUUAGGGACUUAGACUGGCAUGUGUCAGUCAGUCAUUGGGACUUCAAAUGUAUUGGCUUAUGUCAUAUUAUCAUGGUCAAAUACUGAAGAAUAAAAGAUGGGAAAAUGUUUGUUGGCCUGUUUUCUCAACAACAAAAAAAUGUAAUCAAAGGUGUGAUUUUUAAACUCGCAUUGUUUUGUUUUCCAGGCGUAGGAUGAGUGGUGCAGCAUCUGUUGAAAGACCAACAUAGACUACGCUAGCCAUAAAUGUGCGCACAGGAGACCUGGGGGGCUAUGCCACAAGCGACGAGUUCACCAGAGCUGUCAUCGCCAACCUAGCCAUCUGAACUAGCCUCUCAAACACACACUUUAUUUUACUCCCUUCAAACUAGUCUCUCUGCAUUGACCACUCAAACAGCUGCGCAACAGAUUAAAUCCUGACCCAUGCUCAACAACAGCUAACACCCAUAGACUGAAAUGCAUACAAACCCCAAAAUAUGUAAAAAUACACACAAUGAAAUUGAGGACCGGUUACAUAAAUGAGAAGACAAUAUGGGGUCGACACCUACAGUCUUGUGAACGGUACCAAAAUAAAUGUUUUCCCAUUCAACAAUAGUUGUAUGGAACUUGUAAGUCACAUUCCACAUUCUCUACCAGAGUGGUGGUGUUCAAUGAAUGGAUCUUGUUUAGAUAUUCAUACAAGAUACAUGUACUAUAUCAGUAUAUUUUAUUUAUUCACUACAAGUGUUAUAUGCAUUAUUGACUUAUUCAUUCAUAAUUAGUAAUAAACAUUCCUAUACCUGA